UCUAGAGAUAGAGUCUUCCCCUUCGGGGGACAAAGUGACAGGUGGUGCAUGGUUGUCGUCAGCUCGUGUCGUGAGAUGUUGGGUUAAGUCCCGCAACGAGCGCAACCCUUAAGCUUAGUUGCCAGCAUUAAGUUGGGCACUCUAAGUUGACUGCCGGUGACAAACCGGAGGAAGGUGGGGAUGACGUCAAAUCAUCAUGCCCCUUAUGAUUUGGGCUACACACGUGCUACAAUGGACAAUACAAAGGGCAGCUAAACCGCGAGGUCAUGCAAAUCCCAUAAAGUUGUUCUCAGUUCGGAUUGUAGUCUGCAACUCGACUACAUGAAGCUGGAAUCGCUAGUAAUCGUAGAUCAGCAUGCUACGGUGAAUACGUUCCCGGGUCUUGUACACACCGCCCGUCACACCACGAGGGUCUGUAACACCCGAAGCCGGUGGAGUAACCAUUUAUGGAGCUAGCCGUCGAAGGUGGGACAAAUGAUUGGGGUGAAGUCGUAACAAGGUAGCCGUAUCGGAA
rnacentral:rRNA from 1 species